rnacentral:piRNA from 1 species
UGACUCUGUGCCUACUCUGUGCU